CCUACGGGGGGCUGCAGUGGGGAAUAUUGGACAAUGGGGGGAACCCUGAUCCAGCCAUGCCGCGUGUGUGAAGAAGGCCCUCGGGUUGUAAAGCACUGUCAGUGAGGAAGAACGCCUGGUGGUUAAUACCCAUCAGGAAAGACAUCACUCACAGAAGAAGCACCGGCUAACUCCGUGCCAGCAGCCGCGGUAAUACGGAGGGUGCGAGCGUUAAUCGGAAUUACUGGGCGUAAAGCGCGCGUAGGUGGCUUGAUAAGCCGGUUGUGAAAGCCCCGGGCUCAACCUGGGAACGGCAUCCGGAACUGUCAAGCUAGAGUGCAGGAGAGGAAGGUAGAAUUCCCGGUGUAGCGGUGAAAUGCGUAGAGAUCGGGAGGAAUACCAGUGGCGAAGGCGGCCUUCUGGACUGACACUGACACUGAGGUGCGAAAGCGUGGGUAGCAAACAGGAUUAGAUACCCUUGUAGUC
rnacentral:rRNA from 1 species